rnacentral:lncRNA from 1 species
GGCCGACAGCCAUCUCCAACACCGAUAGUCCUCUCCAUCACAUCCUCUCUCUUCUUUCCUACCCAACAUCACUCACCAUCUCUGUCAUCCUAAACCUCCCAAUCAUUGCCCUAACAGUCAUGGUUGUGCUGCUCGGUCGCCUUAGAAAAUUAUACGACAACAACCUUCCCUACCCCACAUCUACACCAAAGUCAAGUUGAACCCUUCUCGGGUUUAUUCACCUUCUUCCCUACCCAACAUCACUCACCAUCUCUGUCAUCCUAAACCUCCCAAUUGUUGCCCUAACAGUCAUGGUUGUGCUGCUCGGUCGCCUUAGAAAAUUAUACGACAACAACCUUCCCCACCCCACAUCUGCACCAAAGUCAAGUUGAACCCUUCUCGGGUUUAUUCACCUUCUUCCCUACCCAACAUCAUUCACCAUCUCUGUCAUCCUAAACCUCCUAAUUGUUGCCCUAACAGUCAUGGUUGUGCUGCUCGGUCGCCUUAGAAAAUUAUACGACAACAACCUUCCCCACCCCGCAUCUACACCAAAGUCAAGUUGAACCCUUCUCGGGUUUAUUCACCUUCUUCCCUACCCAACAUCACUCACCAUCUCUGUCAUCCUAAACCUCCCAAUUGUUGCCCUAACAGUCAUGGUUGUGCUGCUCGGUCGCCUUAGAAAAUUAUACGACAACAACCUUCCCCACCCCCACAUCUACACCAAAGUCAAGUUGAACCAUUCUCGGGUUUAUUCACCUUCUUCCCUACCCAACAUCACUCACCAUCUCUGUCAUCCUAAACCUCCCCAAUCGUUGCCCUAACAGUCAUGGUUGUGCUGCUCAGUCGCCUUAGAAAAUUAUACGACAACAAC